CACGUAGGGGGCGAGCGUUGUCCGGAUUUAUUGGGCAUAAAGAGCUCGUAGGCGGCUCAGUAAGUCAGGUGUGAAAACUCCAGGCUCAACCUGGAGACGCCACCUGAUACUGCUGUGGCUAGAGUCCGGUAGGGGAGCAUGGAAUUCCUGGUGUAGCGGUGAAAUGCGCAGAUAUCAGGAGGAACACCAGUGGCGAAGGCGGUGCUCUGGGCCGGAACUGACGCUGAGGAGCGAAAGCGUGGGGAGCAAACAGG
rnacentral:rRNA from 1 species